AAUCAGAUGGACUACCCGCUGAACUUAAGCAUAUCAAUAAGCGGAGGAAAAGAAACUAACAAGGAUUCCCCUAGUAACUGCGAGUGAAGCGGGAAAAGCUCAAAUUUGAAAUCUGGCUGCUUUUGCAGUCCGAGUUGUAAUUUCGAGAAGUGUUACCCGUGCUGGACCGUGCAUAAGUCUUCUGGAAAGGAGCAUCAUAGAGGGUGAAAAUCCCGUCUUUGGUACGGACUCCCAGUGCAUUGUGGUAUGCUCUCAACGAGUCGAGUUGUUUGGGAAUGCAGCUCAAAAUGGGUGGUAAAUUCCAUCUAAAGCUAAAUAUUGGUGUGAGACCGAUAGCGAACAAGUACUGUGAGGGAAAGAUGAAAAGAACUUUGGAAAGAGAGUUAAACAGUACGUGAAAUUGUCAAUAGGGAAACGCUUGAAGUCAGUCGCGUUGCUCUGGGAUCAGCCUUCCUUUUGGUUGGUGUACUUCCUGAGUGACGGGUCAGCAUCAGUUUUGACUGCUGGAAAAGGCUUAGGGAAUGUGGCUCUUUCGGGAGUGUUAUAGCCCUUUGUCAUAUACAGUGGUUGGGACUGAGGAACUCAGCACGCCGCAAGGCAGGUCUUCGGACACUUUCGUGCUU
rnacentral:rRNA from 1 species